CUCCCCUCGCCCAGGGAUUAAUCAUUCCUGGUUAUUUGAUGGCAUUCCUUGGGAGUUUUAAGACAAUUGCUUUUCUUUGGGGAGAUGUCUUAGAUUAGGGGGAUUUACAGAGGGAGGUCUCCCGCCCUGUGCUUGGGGCAGAAGGACAGAGUCCUGGAUUCCCAGGCAGCUCUCGGGCUCCGCAGAGCAAGGCACUCUCCUGUCCUGGUUCUGUUCCCUGCGACAGCAGGUGCCCAGGAAAGAUCUGCUGAAUAAGGAAAGAACGCACCAACACUUGGGGCUCAUCCGGGCGUCGGGCAUCGGUGGGAGCUGGGAGCUGUGCUGACCACGUGACCCGAUGAAGUUUCGAGGUCUGGGCCUCUGUCCCUCCUUCUGGGUCUCAGGGUGUCUGCAGAGUCAUGGUGAGAGCAUCCUGGCCCUAGUGGUGCACCUGGUCUCCGAAGCUGGCCCGGGUGUUGAGGGGAGUCUGUAGGGCACACCCCAAACUUUUAAUAGCUAACAAGCUCGGAGGUAGGCUUCCCCAGUAGCAUUUACACUUUUUUUUUUUUU